CACAGGAUGGCCCACUGGCGACUCGAAGCCGACACCUCACCUACAAAGCGCGGCGCGUUGCGUUGCGCGGAGCAGUGAGCAUGCCGCGCGCUGGUGCCCUUCUCCCGCUCCGCCCCGCCGCCCUUUCUCGUCGGGCCUCGGCGCCUCGCCGGUGCGCGCAUUCGUGUGCGAGGAGCGGCGACUGAGCUCAGCUCCGGUUCGCUAUCCUGAGCGGACGCUGACCGCACCGCCGCCCUCUGUCCAUCGCUGCUCCGAGGGUCUCUUUCAAAUUCCCCAGAGGAUCAGAGAUAAAGAUCAUCAGAUCAACUAUCUGAAGGAAUUUCUUUUAUAUAAAUUUUUAGAAUGACAAGCACAAAUAUCUCUUGGGCAUGCCUUCUAUUGCUAUGUUUUGCUUCGAUUGGAGAUGCAGAAUACAUGAAGUACAAGGAUCCAAAGCAGCCUAUCAACACAAGAAUCAAGGAUCUUCUUGGUAGGAUGACCCUUGCUGAAAAAAUUGGCCAAAUGACACAGAUAGAACGGCAGGUUGCAUCUGCAGAUGUCAUGAAAAAGUACUUCAUAGGUAGCAUCUUAAGUGGUGGUGGAAGUGUUCCUGCUCCCCAGGCCAGUCCAUCAAUUUGGGUUAACAUGGUAAAUGAAUUCCAGAGAGGUGCCUUAUCAACACGUCUAGGAAUUCCUAUGAUUUAUGGGAUUGAUGCUGUUCACGGUAAUAACAAUGUCUACAACGCCACCUUGUUCCCUCACAACAUCGGGCUUGGAGCUACAAGGGAUCCUGACCUGUAAGAAGGAUUGGUGUAGCAACUGCUCUUGAAGUGCGGGCAACAGGCAUUCAAUAUACUUUUGCUCCAUGUAUUGCGGUUUGCAGAGAUCCAAGAUGGGGGCGAUGUUAUGAGAGCUACAGUGAAGAUCACACGAUUGUCCAGCAGAUGACAGAUAUUAUCCUUGGCUUGCAGGGAGAGAUCCCAGUCAAUCAUACCAAGGGUGUUCCAUAUGUAGCCGGAAAGGAUAAAGUUGCUGCUUGUGCUAAACACUUUGUUGGUGAUGGUGGGACUCAUAAUGGAAUAAAUGAGAAUAACACUAUCAUUGAUGAACAUGGACUGCUAAGCAUUCACAUGCCACCAUAUUAUGACUCUAUCAUAAAGGGUGUUGCAACUAUUAUGGUGUCAUACUCAAGCUUGAAUGGUGUAAAAAUGCAUGCCAACCAUGAGCUAGUCACUGGCUACCUGAAAUCCAAACUACAUUUUAGAGGUUUUGUGAUAUCAGACUGGCUAGGAAUAGAUCGUAUCACCUCACCUCCUGGUGCAAACUAUACUUAUUCUGUGCAAGCUGGAAUAAAUGCGGGGAUUGACAUGGUCAUGGUUCCAGACAAUUACACUGAAUACAUUGAUGAUCUGACAUCUCUUGUCCACAAGGGUAUUGUCAAUAUGAGCAGAGUUGAUGAUGCCGUGAGGCGUAUCCUUCGAGUCAAAUUUACAAUGGGCCUCUUUGAGAACCCAUUAGCUGAACUUAGCUUUGCAAAUCAGCUUGGAAAGAAGGAGCAUAGGGAAUUGGCCAGAGAAGCUGUCAGGAAAUCACUUGUUCUCUUGAAAAAUGGAAAUUCUUCCAAUCAGCAAUUCUUACCUCUUCCAAAGAAAGCUAGAAGGAUCCUUGUAGCUGGAAGUCAUGCUAGUAACUUGGGCUACCAGUGUGGAGGAUGGUCAAUUCAAUGGAUGGGGGGCACCGGGGAUAUCACGACGGGGACAACAAUUCUUGAUGCCAUAAAGUCCACUGUUGCCGACUCAACGCAUGUCCUCUACUCUGAGAAUCCUGACGACAGUUUCAUGAAGCAUAAUGAUUUCUCAUUCGCUAUCAUUGUUGUUGGGGAGCCACCUUAUUCUGAAACAGUAGGUGACAGCACUGACCUCACUAUGCUAGACCCUGGUCCAGACACGAUCAGAACUGUGUGCUCUGCAGUUAAAUGUGUGGUGGUUAUCGUCUCUGGUCGUCCUGUUGUGAUUGAACCAUAUGUUCCACUUAUGGAAGCGCUUGUUGCUGCUUGGCUACCUGGCACGGAAGGUCAGGGUGUCGCUGAUGUACUUUUCGGGGACUAUGGUUUCACUGGAAAGCUCCCCCGUACCUGGUUCAAGUCUGUUGACCAGCUGCCCAUGAAUGUGGGAGAUCCGCACUAUGAUCCACUCUAUCCUUUCGGCUUUGGUUUGACAAUAAAUUCAUCAUUGCCAGGGUUUUCUGGUGUUAACAAUCUGGGAGAUACGAAGCAAAGAGUGAUUUAUGUUGCGCUGUGUUCUCUACUGUCAUUGAUACUGAUCAAUGAUUUGGGUAUAGGCGUAUUUCAACACCCAGCUGCCCGUAUGUAGUCUUUGUAUGAUUAUUAACCAUGUCUAAUGUUGCCUUGGUUGAUGAUACCUCUGCAAAAUGCGGUUGCUGACCAUUAAUCAGUCUAUUAUUUCAUCAAAUUAUCAUUU